rnacentral:rRNA from 1 species
GACGAACGCUGGCGGCGUGCCUAACACAUGCAAGUCGAGCGGAGUCGAUCGACGGAAGCCUUCGGGCGGAAGAUGGUUGACUUAGCGGCGGAUGGGUGAGUAACGCGUGGGCAACCUGCCUCGAAGACCGGGAUAACAGUCCGAAAGGGCUGCUAAUACCGGAUGUGGUCAAGGAUCCGCAUGGAUUUUUGAUUAAAGGGGAAACCCGUUUCGAGAUGGGCCCGCGUCCUAUCAGCUAGUUGGUGAGGUAAAAGCUCACCAAGGCGACGACGGGUAGCCGGCCUGAGAGGGUGACCGGCCACACUGGAACUGAGACACGGUCCAGACUCCUACGGGGGCAGCAGUGGGGAAUCUUCCACAAUGGGCGAAAGCCUGAUGGAGCGACGCCGCGUGAGCGAAGAAGGCCUUCGGGUUGUAAAGCUCUGUCUGGAGGGACGAAGGAAGUGACGGUACCUCCGGAGGAAGCCACGGCUAACUACGUG